rnacentral:rRNA from 1 species
UACGUAGGGUGCAAGCGUUGUCCGGAAUUAUUGGGCGUAAAGAGCUCGUAGGCGGUUUGUCGCGUCUGCUGUGAAAACUCGGGGCUUAACCCCGGGCCUGCAGUGGGUACGGGCAGACUAGAGUGUGGUAGGGGAGACUGGAAUUCCUGGUGUAGCGGUGAAAUGCGCAGAUAUCAGGAGGAACACCGGUGGCGAAGGCGGAUCUCUGGGCCGAUACUGACGCUGAGGAGCGAAAGCGUGGGGAGCGAACAGG